rnacentral:rRNA from 1 species
UACGGGGGGAGCAAGCGUUGUUCGGAUUUACUGGGCGUAAAGGGCGCGUAGGCGGCGUGACAAGUCACUUGUGAAAUCUCCGGGCUUAACCCGGAACGGUCAAGUGAUACUGUCGUGCUAGAGUACAGAAAGGGCAACUGGAAUUCUCGGUGUAGCGGUGAAAUGCGUAGAUAUCAGGAGGAACACCGGUGGCGAAGGCGGUUCUCUGGGCAUUACCUGACGCUGAGGAGCGAAAGCGUGGGGAGCGAACAGG